AGAGUUUGAUCCUGGCUCAGGAUGAACGCUAGCGGCAGGCUUAACACAUGCAAGUCGAGGGGUAACAGUCCCGCUUUCGGGCGAGAGCUGACGACCGGCGCACGGGUGCGUAACACGUAUACAAUCUACCUUUUACAGAGGGAUAGCCCAGAGAAAUUUGGAUUAAUAUCUCAUAGUAUUAUAAAAUGGCAUCAUUUAAUAAUUAAAGUUUCGGCGGUAAAAGAUGAGUAUGCGUCCUAUUAGCUGGUUGGUACGGUAACGGCGUACCAAGGCGACGAUAGGUAGGGGUCCUGAGAGGGAGAUCCCCCACACUGGUACUGAGACACGGACCAGACUCCUACGGGAGGCAGCAGUGAGGAAUAUUGGACAAUGGGCGAGAGCCUGAUCCAGCCAUGCCGCGUGCAGGAAGACAGUCCUAUGGAUUGUAAACUGCUUUUAAACGGGAAGAAACCCAACUACGAGUAGUUGGCUGACGGUACCGUAAGAAUAAGCACCGGCUAACUCC
rnacentral:rRNA from 1 species